CAUUACACCUCUACUAUGUCUUUUGUGAAGUCUUAUUUAAGUCUCCCAUCCAAUAUUCUAUUGGUUAUCUGUCUUUUUCUUAGUAAGAAAGAGACGGGUGAGGCUAUGGUGUUCCCUUAUCUCCAAUCUAAGACAAUCAACUAUCCUGAGUAAUGUGUCUUACAUUUUCCUUCCUGAAAAUUUUACAUCACAAAAGGUAUGAGAUGUCUCAUUUGACAACUGCAUUUUUUUUUUUUUUUUUUUUUUUUUACUAGUUAUCCUGCAACUAAUAGAAGAAAGAAACAUGGAGAAAAUGGAGCAGAUAUUCAAAGUAACUGUAUUUGACUUUGGUUAGCAAUGAUACAGACUUGGCAGGCAUAAAACUGACUGUGCCAUUCUGACACCCUCACUCUCUCAGCAGGUCUGAUUUACUCCUGAUGUUCACUUCUGUCUUUCCUAGGAGAAUAUUUCUCACGUGUUUGACAGAAAACAUUAUCUGUCCAUCAUUUCCAUGGAUUCCUGGGUCUCACGGGCAGAAGGACAAGGCAGAUAUGAGGCGGAUCUGGUAAAGUAAGUCAUUGUGUACUCUUUGUAUUUGUUUGAAGAUAUUUGGUCAUUUUCAGUCAUAUAUGUGAUGGAGAACCAGUUGUUAGAACAAUGUGUAUAUUGAUGGAGAAACAGGUGGGCCAGAGUGGUCGGUAGUCUGUGUGACAAACAGUGAUGCCACUUUCACUAUCUGAAAAUGAAUGAAUAUAUUCAUAGUAGUGGGCAUGCAAAGGUAAUAAAGACCUGACCCCCAACAUCAAUAAUAUAAUAAUGAUGAAUUCAUAUUCUAAAUCUGAUCAUUUAAGGAAGGCCAUCCAUAUCUCCAUCACAAUCACUUAAACAAAUGCAAAAAUGGAUAUUCUUUCUAGAAUAUUUCUGAUGAAAUUGCUUCUGAAGGCUGCAAAUUAGUGCUCAAGACCCUGUUGAAAAGCAGUUUCCUGUAUUCACUUAUGAAGUCAAAUGCAGAAAUUAUAUUUAUUUGGAUUUUAUUUAUAGCAGAGAG
rnacentral:lncRNA from 1 species